rnacentral:rRNA from 1 species
AUUGAACGCUGGCGGCAGGCCUAACACAUGCAAGUCGAGCGGGGUUUUCGGACCUAGCGGCGGACGGGUGAGUAAUGCGUAGGAAGCUGCCCGAUAGAGGGGGAUACCAGUUGGAAACGACUGUUAAUACCGCAUAAUGUCUACGGACCAAAGUGUGGGACCUUCGGGCCACAUGCUAUCGGGUGCGCCUACGUGGGAUU